AAGCUUUUGUGGUUCUUAAGUGUGAUUAUUAGAUUUUCAUGCCACUGUGUGAGCUGUGCCUACCUCAAACCUUUUUACAAUGUCAGCAUAUGACCUAUCCGAUG
rfam:Fukomys damarensis contig156624, whole genome shotgun sequence.